GCCGGGCGCAGUGGCGCGUGCCUGUAGUCCCAGCUACUCGGGAGGCUGAGGUGGGAGGAUGCUUGAGCCCAGGAGUUCUGGGCUGCAGUGCGCUAUGCCGAUUGGGUGUCUGUACUAAGUUCGGCAUCAAUAUGGUGACCUCCCGGGAGUGGGGGACCACCAGGUUGCCUAAGGAGGGGUAAACCGGCCCAGGUUGGAAACGGAGCAGAUCAAAACUCCCGUGCUGAUCAGUAGUGGGAUCGCGCCUGUGAAUAGUUACUGCAUUCCAGCCUGGGUAACAUAGCCAGACCUCGUCUCU
rnacentral:SRP_RNA from 1 species